UACGGAGGGUGCAAGCGUUAUCCGGAUUCACUGGGUUUAAAGGGUGCGCAGGUGGGCAGGUAAGUCAGUGGUGAAAUCUCCGGGCUUAACUCGGAAACUGCCAUUGAUACUAUCUUUCUUGAAUACCGUGGAGGUCAGCGGAAUAUGUCAUGUAGCGGUGAAAUGCUUAGAUAUGACAUAGAACACCAAUUGCGAAGGCAGCUGGCUACACGAAUAUUGACACUGAUGCACGAAAGCGUGGGGAUCAAACAGG
rnacentral:rRNA from 1 species